rnacentral:lncRNA from 1 species
GAUACCAUGUUAGUGAGAUGGGACGCCAAAAGUUGACACCCCUUGGUGUCUUGUGUGGCGCCUCUUCAUCCCUUAUAUAAGGGGCACCCCAUAUGGCAUAAAAUUCAUCCAAAAUAUGUUUUGGAUGUGGGAUUAGAUGAGAAAGUGAUGGUAAAAAUUUGAAGUGAAAAUAGAAAGCGAAAGAGAGAGAAAAAUAGAAAAGAAG